rfam:Cucumis melo, WGS project CAJI01000000 data, contig: 09943
AAAAAAGCAGGGCUCUGUUGCCUAUUUUGUGAAUAGUGCUCUCGUAAACUUCAGGAAAACUGAAUGUAUCAUUAUUGGGUGAACCUCUGUAUAGAUAAUAGCUGAAGGUUCAGUAAAUGAUGCAACAUAC